rnacentral:rRNA from 1 species
AUGAAAGGGCUCGCCGACGAGCUCGAUGCUGCAGGCAAACCCCUCGACGAAGAUGACGUCGUCUCAUACAUCUUGGAAGGUCUCAUGCAUGAGCCCGACUACAACGGGUUCGUCACCGCCAACUCCACGCGCACCGUCACCGAUCAUCCGAUCGGCCUCAGCGAGUUGUUCUCCCUCCUGCUAUCCGCGGAAGCCAGGAUCACCGCCCAGCAUGCUGCCUACACCGCUCACCACUCCGCCAACCUCGCCGCAAAGGGUGGUCGCGGUGGCUACGGC